UUUGCACACACAUGCAUGUACACAUAUAUAUAUGUCCAACAAUAUUGGCUAACAGAAAUACUCAUAACAUUAACUUCACCAAAUAGCAACAUUAAUUAAUAUCCAUACAUGACAAGAAAAUCAAAAGCAAACAAUAAUAAUAAGGUUGAAAUGAAAGUUUGCUGUUUGAAGUUUUGUGAGGGAAUGUGAAAGAUAACCUUGGGUGAAAUGAGAUAGUGGGGUGGUACAGCAAAUGAAGGUAGGGAUUAAUGUCUUUUGGAUAAUAGAUUUAUGAGGUGAGAAGCUUUGUUGGCUGCAGCAUGCAAGAUGUGUGCUUAUCUAAAGAAUUGGUGAGCUUCAUUCAGCCACUAAUGACACAAGCAAAGUGGAUAAACAGGGAGUUCGGAAGAAUAUCUUAAAGCAAAAUAUAAGUACAUGCAUUUAAUAUAAUUAUUAAUGUAAACAAUUAAUGAUAAUAGUUUAUUUAACUACAGAAGUUAAUAAAGGUGAAGGAAUCUCACAGCAGCUUUUCCUCUCUCCCUUGGAACAUGCAAAUAAGCUCACGGGUGGAAGUGUAGGACAAAAGGAAGAGUUAAUAAAAUGAAGAAGCUUGUGGGAUGUGAGGAGGUUGCAUGCGGAUGAACCUCUUAGGGACGGACGCUGCAGGUGAGUUCGAUUAAGAUUGAAGACGAGUGGAAGGGAAGGAGAGAUACUUCCGCAGGUUCAUAGUAGAGAUGGAGAAACCAGCUUUUGGAAGGAAAUGAUUUGAUCGUUUGGAAGUGGAAAUUGCUACAGCAAGUGGACGAGACUAUGGUUGUAAACUGCAAAUUUCCUGUGCUUUGAGCUCUUCCUGAAAGCUGCCUGAUUCUCGGCACAGUGGAGGCGGAACAGGUGCUGGAGCUCGGUAAUCUUCCUUGAGGGAGGUCGGAUUUGGACUGGUGAGAUCCCUCUGAUCCAAGCGUCAAAAUCGGUAUAUUGAUAGCUUAGAAGGGGCGUUUUGACGGAGAAAAGGCCAAUCUAAUAUUGUGGCUAUUUGCUUGAGCCGGACUUUGGCAAGGUCACAUCGGGUGAGAGUCGGAGCAGAGGAGAAACAGCCAACAUCUCCUGGAGGUUUUGCUAGAUUCGCUUGAGUGGAGUGAAACAGGAGGAAAGGUUGUGGGAGGAGAUUCGGCCAGAGAGUUGAGUUGCUCGGUGUAGAUGAGUUCAGGAUCUCAUGCUCAGGCAAGAGUUGCAAUUGGAGCAGGAGGGUUGGGGGCGGACACAUGAACAGGAGCUGAUAAGAAAAAUGGCCCAAAGGAGCUCUCGGUUUUGAAGCUUUUAGCUCACGAUUGUGUGGGUAAAAAACGAAGCAGAGGGAUUGUUUUGUUGAUUUCAUUUUAACUAGGAGAGCAAACAGCGAUCAAGGCAAUCUACUCAGCGGCGGGAUUUGAGGGAUUUUGGACAGAGCAAAUACAGAGUUACGAGGAUUCAUAAGCUGAAUUCAUCACCUUCAAUUUCUGCAACUUUUUGAGGGAUUUGAAUCCCUCUUUUCUUAUUUAUACUGAAAGGGCAACGGCAACGUCGGCAAGUCAAGCGCUUGCUCCUUGAUUGUAAAUUUCAAUGGAACAUUGAAGAAUGUAAGUAGAACUCCUAUCUCAGAGAAAUAUGCUAAGUUAGAGACUGUUCUGUCAUUAACUUAUGGUUACAGCAAAUAUAUGUCGACACCAUUCUGUUCUCAACUUAUGCAGCAGCAGUCCUAUACUAUUACUAUUCAUGGCUUUAGCUAAUAUUAAAAAAGUUCUUUUAUGUAGUAAAGCCUAAAUUAAUGUACAAGAUUAAGGCUUUGUUUGGGACAACUUUCUUAUUGCUUCUUAAAGCAGCUUUUUAGUCUAAAAAUUUUAUACUAAAAAACUGCUUUAAGAAGAAAUAAGAUAACUGUCCAAAAUGAAGCUUAAGAAUCCUUUUUGGGAUGAUUGAAGCUGUAUGUAAAAUUAACUGUAGAUUUUUGAAGGAAAAUUAAAGAUUUUGAACUCUUGUUGAUAUUA